UUCGACGAAAAGUACCUUUCCACAUUUGCAAUUCCGACCCUGGCUGCCACCAACAAGGACGCGUUUUUAGCGACAGAUUCUCUCGGUGAAUCCCGGAUUGUGUGGACCUGAUCUUGUGCACACUAGUCGACAUUGUCGAGUAUGGUCGUGGGCAAAGGUCGUCGCGGUCAAUUAGAUAGAACUGAAAUCCGGAUAUCAAUCUAGGUUUCUAUGAAGCAGAAGAAAUCUAAUUGUCCCUACAAAGGUAAAGUUUGGAACGAAAGGAUUCUUCUAUAGCAAAAUUCAAAUCAGCUGGAGUUCUUUUCGAGCGGCCAAGCCGCAGUUGAUAUUCUGUUGACGGAGCUGCCAAUAGAACCAAUGCUGCCCGAGAAAUUAUGUUCUCUAAAUUCUCCCAUUUCAAAUGUAAAACUCGAUUUAUUCCCAGAUUUUGUAUCGAGGAUGUAAUUUAUUCAACGUAGAGUGGAAUAUCACCAUGGAACUUGAAUAUUAUAUUGUAAAUAAAUAAAUUGUGGUUUAUUUUGUUUUGUUUUUUCAAGGUUUGUACUUUUAUCUAACUCGAAGCUUCCAAACUACGGAUAACCGGCGUGAAACAGCUACGCCGUUUUUUUCGCAAGCGAUUUCAAGUCAAGCAGAGUACCUGAUCGAUGGCGAAGAUGGAGCUGGCAUCGCAAAUGCUACCGUUGUGCUGGAUGGGACGUACGACUUUGUUCAACCUCCUGCUGUAGCGAAAGUUUCCUUGAGAUUUUUUGAGUUUAGAAUUAGAAAUGCCUUUUUUUACAAGUCAAACCUUUAGACAAACGCAAUACAUCUUCUUCCCUGAAUUAAACACCUGUUAAAAGUAACCCCCUUUUUUAGCUUAGGAUUAUUCGAUCAUUGUACAACUAAAAUGACAAUAAAUUAAAAUAUUUGGACAAAGUAAAACUGUACUGUUUUUUUGCUCAAAAUCCCGAAAACCCAUAAAAAAUGAUGUUAAUUGGAAUUGUUACAGCUAUUUCCCAAAAUGUAACGCGCCAUGAAAAAUCACUCUAAUAACUAUUUAAAACCAUAAAAAUACCAUUUGAGAAAUGGUGAAAUCCCUAAAAUAUAUACGCAAAAAUGAACUUUCAAAAAGAAUUUGACAAAGUGUCGCUAGAAGAAAAAAUCAAAUAGUGAAUAUUGCUAACAACAUAUAUGGGGAAUAGUUCACUAUUUGAGAGACAGUGACGAAUUAAAAAAAAUAUUUACCAAAUAGUUGCUAUACAAUUUGGUAAAAGGUUGAUUGAAUAUUUAACAAAUGAUUUUCAAACGGUUUUUUUCUAUGCGGGUCGCUUCCACGCGAAAAUUAACUUUAUUUUUACCAUUACACAAAUGGUAAUCUGACGAAACGUUGUAUGGAGAUUUUUAAGGUUACCGUUGCUAACCACCCUCAAUUCAGAUGGUCGAACUUUAUGAUAAAUGGUAGGGUACCAUUUCCAAUAUGGUAUUUUAAAGGUUUUCCUACCAUUUUUGAAAUAGUGGUUACGAUCUCUGAAAUGGUGAGGAAACCAUUUAACACAAAGUUUUUUUAAGGUUCUCGUUUAUGCGGGUUUGUAUGAUAAACUUUAAUUUACCAUUUGAAAACUAUUUCUUAAAUAGUGAAACUGGAAAAAAAAUGUAGGAUUAACCUUACAUAACCAUAUGAAAACUAUUUCCAAAAUAGUAGCGCUAAGUAAAAAUAGCAAGAAAAACCCUAAUAAACCAUUUACAAACCCUUUCUAAAAAAGUAGACGCAAGGUUAAAAAUUAUAUGAAAAACCUCAAAAUACUAUUUCAAAACCAUUUCUCAAACAUUAUAACCGAGAGAAAAAGGUCGCUUUUUCGUGAAAAUUUACUUUAUUUUUACCAUUACACAAAUGGUAAUUUGACGAAACGUUGUUCGGAGAUUUUUAAGGUUACCGUUGCUAACCACCCUCAAUUCAGAUGGUCGAACUUUAUGAAAAAUGGUAGGGUACCAUUUCCGAUAUAGUAUUUUUAAAGUUUUCCUACCAUUUUUCAAAUAGUGGUUACUGUAGUGAUGGAGCGUGGCAUGUAGAAAUGUGAGCACCCCUAGCAUAAUAUCUUGUAGCGAACAGUAGUAUUGGUGUGCUGGCAUGUGCGAGAACUCGUAUGGUAGUGUGAGUGACAGAAAGAAAAAUAAAUCAGUCUUCUGCUUUGCUUUGGCCAUAAAACACGCGUUUUGAAUUGGCAUCCGAAAUCCAAGAGAAAACGACCGAAAUAUGUCCGUCUGGUCACGACAAUGGCGCAAACAGCGCUCCCGACGCGAAUUAUAGUGAAAAUUGUUUGCAAGGAAGAAAUUGUUCGAUGAUAAUGUUCAUUUGCUGUGGUGUUCGACUGCUUUGGAAGCCUUAAUGGCGCGUGUGUCCCUCGCAGCAGGGACCAGUGAAAAAAAAAAAUAAUCCUUAUUGUAAUCGUGUGAAACCAUCGAGCAGUGAUUUUGAUUGAUAUAGGACGAAAAUAACACGGAGUGUAUUACCAGAGGCAAUGAUUUUUUUGGUAAGUCAGUAGCGGCGUGAUUGGCAAAAGCUAACAAAAAAGAACAGCAAGACGGCUGCGUUGUUUGUUUUGAUUAUUUUCCCUGUUCAGUUAAGCGGUGUUAGUCAUGGUUGAAGUGGGACCGACACUUGUGUUAGCAUUCUUAUUAUAGACGCUCUACUAUCAGACCGAUGUCAGGCCGAUGUUUGACCAAAAAGUUAUUUUUUGUAGGAUGAAUGCUGAAAGUCGCAUAUGUUCCAUUAAAAUACGCGGCAAGGCAGCCACGAAUUGCAAGCCGCACUUUUGACUAAAUACGUGCUGUCAAAUCCCAUACUUUGUUUCGUUUUUGCUGUUGUUCUUCUACCAAUCGUUGGCAAUGUUGUUAGUUUUAUUUUCGACUGCUCUACACUUGCUGAUAAUAGCUGGCAACAAUGUCUACGGCACAUUCUUAAAUGCCGUGCGGCGUUUAAAUUGUAAGGAACAGACAGUAUUUUGUGGAUGGCGCCGAACAAGAUCAUAUCCGUGGUUUUAAAAAUAGAUGAUAAAGUAUUUUCUGACAAGUUUUCUUACAAAUAAAGACUCCGCGAAGGCGAAUGGUUCAAUUAGAGCCGAAACGUCAAUAUAGUAAACCAUUUUUGAUAACGAUCAAAAGUGUAUGAUGGGCAUGUAACAUUGUUAAUGGUUUUUGAAAAUACGUUUUAUGUGAAUUUCUGGUAACUUAAGUGUAUAUAUUUUUUAAAGAUGUGCCCUUUAGGUUGCGGGUGCUGUGUUCAAAAGGAAAUCAAAUUCGUCCGACAUAACUUGCAUGCGUUUCAACUCUGUUUGUAAACAAAGUUGUCUCGAGGUUCCUUAGACGAUUGGGCGGUUGAUUGUGAGUAUUUUGAGUAUGAGAACCAUGCAAAGGUAAGAAAGAUUGUAAGAAUUUCGAAAGAGUAGAGCGUGGAAGUGGACUAAUAAGCUUGAGUUCCCUGAGAGGGUAGAGCAUGAAAGAAGGAUCAGUAAGCUUGAGUCCCCUGAGAGGGUAGAGCGCGGAAGUUGGAUCAAAAAGGCUCGAGUCCCCUGAGAGGGUAGAGAGCGGAAGUUGGAUCAAAAAGCUUGAGUCCCUUGAGAGGGUAGAGCGCGGAAGUUGGAUCAAAUGCUUGAGUCCCUUGAGAGGGUAGAGCGUGGAAGUUGGAUCAAAAAGCUCGAGUCCCCUGAGAGGGUAGAGCAUGAAUGAAGGACCAGUAAGCUUGUCGUCUGGUCACGACAGUUACGAUCUCUGAAAUGGUGAGAAAACCAUUUAACACAAAGUUUUUUUAAGGUUCUCGUUUAUGCGGGAAUUCCCGUACUGCAGAAUUCUGCAAUUCUGCACGAAAUCGGCAGCAGAGCGUUCCCGUACUUUUCUGCAACAAAAGUAACUUUUCUCUCAGUCAGAACUUCUGCAAUGAGAGGGACAGAAGCAGAGACGCAUCGAGCUCUACAGGCUCAAUAAAAACUCCUUACCUGCUCUGAAUGGUAGAACAGAGCUAAGCUCUGUAUGCAGCGAACAGAGCCAGCUCUGUAUGGGGAAAAAUAAUAUUGAUUUGCAUAUAUCUCAAAAACGAUAAGUUUUAGAAAGUUGACAUGUUCUAGAAAGUUGCUGGUACCAAAAGGUUCUAUAUUAUUGUCUCAGACGUCAUUACAAUUUGAUUGAUUUAGUUGUGCAAAAGAAGAAAAAACUAUUUAUUUUCUAAGAUACAAGGUAUAGAAUAUUUUUGUUUUCGACAAAGUUGCUCAACUACCAAAAAUGAACAACUCUCUCGAAGACACCAAAGCUCUAUCUUCAAUAGAUACCGAAAUAAAAAAUAAAAACUAUUUUCAUAAUAAAUACGGCUUGCGUCAAACACAAAGCGACCGCGUCGUAGGCACAGGUAAUAUGAGGCAUGUUUGGUAGAAAUCGUCUGAAGUGAAAACUAGUAUAGCAGAGUGUUCAUAGAGAGUUUUUAUGUUAAAUGCUCUCGUCUGGAUGGUUGAAAGAAAUUUCAGAUAAAAUUAUACAAAUUUAUAAAAUUAUAUUCUUUUUAUUGUACUGGUAAGUAAUUAUGAUUAGAAACAAUAAAAUUAU